AAACCCAUGAGCGUUUACCAUGCUCCACCAGCUGCGCGCGCAGCCGCCUUGCGUUUAUAGUCACGGCCAUGCGGCGCGCGACCGCCCUAAGACUGACCGAGAGCUAGUUGAGUGAGCUGACGAGCCUGGGGGAGAGUCUUGUGAGUCGUUAUGAGAGCAAGAGAGGAGCUACUUCAGCCUUAUAAGCCUCUGUUGAACGCAGAUUAUUUUUUUAUUGCCAAAAUCAGGAAUUGAUUCAGAUUCCGAACUCGUGGAGGUUUGUUGGCGAGCAAGGAAGAAUGGGUGCGGAACGGAACAGUGCAAGAUGUGGCCUGCCUUGGGAUCCACUUUGAAGACACGCCAGAGAUAAUCCCACUUCACUUGUGACAUAGAUGAGAAGGUAAUAAAAAAAUCUAGAUACCACAAGUAUUUUGGAAUGAGGAACUUAUUAGUAUGGUAUUUUAGGAGUAAAAUAUU